rnacentral:misc_RNA from 1 species
AAGUCGUAACAAGGUUUCCGUAGGUGAACCUGCGGAAGGAUCAUUACCGAGCAAGGGUCUUCAUGGCCCGACCUCCCACCCUUUGUCGUCGAACAAAUCUUGUUGCUUUGGCGGGACCGUCGCGUCUUAACGACCGGCUGCCGGGUCCUACGAUCGGGUAAGCUCUCGCCAGAGGUUAACUAAACUCUUCGUUAAACAUUCGUCUGAGUCAUUGACAAAAAUCAAUUAAAACUUUCAACAACGGAUCUCUUGGUUCUG